UUUCAUAUAAAAACACCUACAGUCUAUGGUCAGGGAGGGUGUUCCACAGCCUCGGAGCAGCAGAGGAAAAGGCCCAAUCACCCAUGCUGUGAAACCUGGUUCUGUGGGC